UACUGUUAAAAUGACUAGAAUUUAGGCAAGUCGCGCAGUCCUUGGUAACUUUGUAAAGGAAAACGCGUAAAUUUUUUGCAAUAAUUUUACAAACUUUUACAAAAUAAAGACACCCUUGAUCUGAGUAAGUUUACAAAAAUUUAUGGGCUAGUUUUCCUUAGAAAUAUUUGUAAAAUUGUGUAAAAGUUUGUAAGAUUAUGGAUUUUACAAUGUUACAAGAACUGCUUUAGAGGAAAAUUAAAAUUGUUAGUUUCAUUCACACAGUAUAUGUAUCCGACAAAUCUGAAUUAUUUUUCAUGACAUGUAAGAAUUUUACGAAUAUAUAUUUAGGCGUCGUAAUUUGCAAAUUAUUUCGUGACGUUGUUCUCUUCUGAGGCAGUUGCAUCUACAAAAUAAAUACUUUUUACAUUUUGUCAUGAUAAUUUUUUUAAUUUUAUAAAUUUACCAAUCAAUAUUAUUCAAUUUAUGCAGGAUGUCAUGUCAACGUUGUAACCUACGUGACUUUGUUAGGUUUAUAAGCUUACAAACUCUUGACGUGAAUUGACUUUGUAAACAUUUUCGUAACAUUUUUUGCUAAAAAAAUGUCUCGUAAGCGGAACCUAUAGAUAGCUACCCUCAUUUCAACACAAAAUGCAAAUCUCAAACACCCGAAUUAUUUACGAACGUUUGUUUACGAACCAAAAACAUGCUUUUGUAGUUCGAAAGUUUCAUAAAAGUCGGUAAAUAAAAUUUCCUCAGAAAUGUGUGGAAAAGUUUGUAAACGUUACGAAGGUUACAAACUUUGACAUAAGUUCCCUAUAUUUCACUUUGUAAGUAACUCAAUAAAAUUAAACUUACACCUUAAAAAACACAUACAACAAGGUACGUUUUAAAUACAGAUUAAAUAUAAUAAAGUUACAAAAAUUUAAACUCAAUUUUAGCACAAAAUUAGAAAAUUUUUGCACACAAAAUAAAAAUUCGCAAUUGAAAAAAAAUCGUAUUCUAAACCACACCCACAACAAAUAAGCAGUUUUAAAUAUGUACACAUUUAAUAUAAUAAACUGUAAAAUUUUAGCAAAGUUCAUAGUGAAGGUUUUCACGACCUUUUUAACUGUGGAUUUGCAAAUAUUCGACGAUUCGUGAAGGGUUGAGGUGAAACACCUUCGUAAACAAAAUUUUCGGACUUUUAAAAAAAUAUCUAACAAAAAGGCGCAUCACAAACUUUCAUAUAUUUAUUUAUCGUUGGCAGGUGCGAAAUUUUCUUAAAUGUCGUAAAUUUACGCUACAAAUCUGUAUUUACAAAGUUUACCGCAGUACGAGUUGACGUAAAUGAAAACCCUCCUCGAUAAGGUUUGAAACUUGUAUGUCCGUGAACAUGCCGAGUUGGGGCUUAAAAAUAGUAAGAUUGCAACGGAUCUUGGAUUUCACAUCCGCGUACGAGCCAAUUUCCUGAAUUGGCUCGUUUUCCUCGCGAAAACGGACUUUCUCCUUCUCUCACACAAACCGGGGGCUUGGCAAGAAGGAUGCGAUUUAAAAUUGUGACUCAUUUUGAUGACAAUGGGUGAAGGAUGACGAGGAGACAAAGAGAAAGCAUAAUGGCCAAAGUUUGAUGGGGGUCGUAUAAAAUGCUUUUGUAUGUAAAGUGCGUAAUGCAACUCGGUCAAUGCAAUGGAAUAGUUCGCCAAAAGUGAGAAGAUCGUAUCCCGAGUGACUUGAUUUUGUGUCCUGGAUGUAAGCAAAAUUUGGUAAAAACUGAGAUUUCAAAACAGUACCUUAAACUGAAAUGUGUAUAAAAACCUAAAAUUUUAAAGUAUCUAUAUCAGGAAUUAUACAGCUUGAAAUGUUCAUGCGGCAUCACACCUUUGAAAAAUAAUAAUCUGAUCCAAUUAUAAAUUGUAAACUUGGCGUCGAAGAUAUUCAUUUUGGAGAAAUUGUGAUCAGUUUUUUUUACUCGUGUAUAAAAAUGUAUACGAAGUCCUAUUUCGUACUUUUUGAAAUUUGUUACAAAACAAAAACCGAAAUUUUAAAUUAUGCCGAGCAUUUACGUUGGAAGUAUCUUCGUCAAGAAAUAUCAAUUUCUACAGCAUGUUAAAAUCACACGAUUGACGUGGAACUCAUACAUUUUAGAGAAAUUAUAAACCGUUUUCAUAAUUUCAUGUAGAAAAACAAAAUCUUAUUUUCCAAAAUUUGUCAUAGUUUCAAAAUUAUAAUUUCAUGUAGAAAAACAAAAUCUUAUUUUCCAAAAUUUGUCAUAGUUUCAAAAUUAAAUUAUCUUUAAGCUGUGAUAGUAACGUAUUCUCGUCAAUUUUGCCACGCUUUCUUGCAGUACAGAUAAUCUUGCCAAUAAAUUCCUGCAUGCUUUAUUCGCAAAUAUAUUUGCGAGGUUUGUGAAAUGUAUCCAGUUUAAUUUCAUUAAUCGAAGCCUCUCCAAAUAAUUUUUACAAUUUCUUCAUAUUUCUCUAAACUAUAACUCGUGCAUUUCCUUAUCUUAAUGAUUUAUUAUAAGAGACGAUUAAUUUUCCGAAAAAAUUGAAUUCAACCUUGAAAUUUUCUUCAAUAAAAUCUUUACGAAUCUUGACGAAAAAAAAGACGCCCUUGAUCUGAGUAACUUCACAAGAAUUUAUGAGCUAAUCUUACUUCCAGAUAUUUGUAUAAUUUUAUACGUCUACGGAUUUUAUAAAGUUACAAAGGCCUGUGUGAAUUGUUCUAUGUGAGAAUCAAUAAAUUCAAUCAAUAUUCCGGCAUGUUCGAUUCGAGAAUAAAUUUGCGAGGUUCUUAAAAUGUGUGUACCAGUUAAAUUUCCUUGUUAGAAAAAUCGUCCAAAAAUUGUGUUUUAAAAUCACGUCCUAUUUCUCUGCUCUAAGCAAUAGAGGCUUGUGGAAUUAAAUUAGUUACACUUGUUCACUAAUUUUCCCAAUUCGCCGUUGAACUUUUUUAAUUUUGUCGAAUACUAAAACUAUUAGUAUUAUUACAUGUAUUUAGAUAAUCACGGAUAAUUACUAAAAAUGCGAUAGGGUUGAAGUGCAACACUAUAAAUAGUGACAUUUCCCAUAAUAUCAUUCUCGUCUUUCUUUAUGUUGGAAGAAAUUUAAAAAUGUUUAGUUUUUGCUGUUAUUUGCGAUGUUUGUGGAAUGAAGUGGAAUAUAAUUUUUUUCUGUUUUUUGCUCCUUAUUUUGAGUCAUUAUUAAAUCAAUAAUGGAUUUUGUUAAUUUAUAAAUAUCAAAUCGAGAAUUAAUCGAUGCAAUGUUUUUAACGGCGAAAAAAUUGUCACAUUAACGUUCUUCAGUUUUGGAAAUAAAUAAAAAUUCUGAGCUACGUGGUCUCAGUA